rnacentral:rRNA from 1 species
UUACCUUCGGGUAUUGAGGAUGGCGGACGGGUGAGUAACGCGUAAGGAACUUGCCUCUUGGUCUGGGACAACUGUUGGAAACGACAGCUAAUACCGGAUAUUAUGAGAUUCUCGCAUGGGAAACUUAUGAAAGCUAUAUGCGCCAAGAGAGAGCCUUGCGUUCCAUUAGCUAGUUGGUGGGGUAACGGCCCACCAAGGCGACGAUGGAUAGCCGGCCUGAGAGGGUGAACGGCCACAAGGGGACUGAGACACGGCCCUUACUCCUACGGGAGGCAGCAGUGGGGAAUAUUGGACAAUGGGCCACAAGCCUGAUCCAGCAAUUCUGUGUGCACGAUGAAGGUCUUCGGAUUGUAAAGUGCUUUCAGUUGGGAAGAAGAAAGUGACGGUACCAACAGAAGAAGCGACGGCUAAAUACGUGCCAGCAGCCGCGGUAAUACGUAUGUCGCAAGCGUUAUCCGGAUUUAUUGGGCGUAAAGCGCGUCUAGGCGGAAAAAUAAGUCUGAUGUUAAAAUGCGGGGCUCAACUCCGUAUUGCGUUGGAAACUGUUUUUCUAGAGUACUGGAGAGGUGGGCGGAACUACAAGUGUAGAGGUGAAAUUCGUAGAUAUUUGUAGGAAUGCCGAUGGAGAAGUCAGCUCACUGGACAGAUACUGACGCUAAAGCGCGAAAGCGUGGGGAGCAAACAGG